GGGUCAGAGAGAGGAGGGGGGAGCAGGGUCAGAGAGGGGGGAGCAGGGUCAGAGAGAGGAGGGGGCGGGUCACGCUGGGAAAGAUCCCAGAGAAUGCUUGUCUUCUGUCAUACGGAGUCAAAAUCAGAAUAGCCAGAUUAACACCCUGAUAAACUCAGUUAUAGUUGAGUGUAAGGCUGGUGUUUUGUCCAGUGGUGUAACACCAGAUUACCUGAACCCUGAACCUAGCCCUAACCCACAAGUCAGCAGGAUGGAUGUUACCCCGGCAACAAGACAGGAAGAGCCACACCCACCAGGGUUGCCAUGGUGGCUUGAUACGCCGACUCGCUAUAGGUAGAUGGGAGAAGGAGCUGUGUGUUUGAAGUGUUGCUGGGACGUUUAUUGUACAACGCAAUACAAUGUCACAAUGUGAUAUCAACCUAUCAACACUAUGGAAACAAAAGACUUUGACUCUGGAGAGGAGGCCAGAGACACCAGAACUAACUACCUACCUAUCUACACAUACCACAUAUAUAUAUACACACACCAGAACUAACUACCUACCUACCUACCUACCUAUCUACACAUACCACAUAUAUAUAUACACACACCAGAACUAACUACCUACCUACCUAUCUACACAUACCACAUAUAUAUAUAUAUAUAUAUAUAUACACACACACACACCAGAACUUCAUCACUGACUCUGUGAUGGCAACAAUAUCUGAGAUGAUGAUGAUGAUGAUGAUGAAGACGCUGAUGAAGAAAAGAGGAAGAAUGAUAAUGAAAAUGUUUGCAGUUUAAACUCUAUGGGGAAAUUGUUGCACGUUGAAUUAUCUUACUCCAUGUGUCGCUAACAGAGCAGAGACUACAGGGGUUACUCCUAAACCCAGCACAUCCAUGACCUACCACCUAAACUACCAACUGGGUUUAUAAUGAUCUACCGCCUAAACUACCAACUGGGUUUAUAAUAAUCUACCACCUAAACUACCAACUGGGUUUAUAAUGAUCUACCACCUAAACUACCAACUGGGUUUAUAAUGAUCUACCACCUAAACUACCAACUGGGUUUAUAAUGAUCUACCACCUAAACUACCAACUGGGUUUAUAAUGAUCUACCACCUAAACUACCAACUGGGUUUAUAAUGAUCUACCACCUAAACUACCAACUGGGUUUAUAAUGAUCUACCACCUAAACUACCAACUGGGUUUAUAAUGAUCUACCGCAUAAACUACCAACUGGGUUUAUAAUGAUCUACCACCUAAACUACCAACUGGGUUUAUAAUGAUCUACCACCUAAACUACCAACUGGGUUUAUAAUGAUCUACCACCUAAACUACCAACUGGGUUUAUAAUGAUCUACCACCUAAACUACCAACUGGGUUUAUAAUGAUCUACCACCUAAACUACCAACUGGGUUUAUAAUGAUCUACCGCCUAAACUACCAACUGGGUUUAUAAUGAUCUACCACCUAAACUACCAACUGGGUUUAUAAUGAUCUACCACCUAAACUACCAACUGGGUUUAUAAUGAUCUACCACCUGGUUUAUUCACUUCAAUGUAAUAAACGUAAUUUACACCCAACAGGCCAUUAUUACUGGGCUUAAUAGUGACAGACAGACAACACAUAACAACUGGAUCAACACAUGGUGGUCCUCUGUAGGUCCAUUGGUAGAGCAUGGUGCUUGCAACAUCAGGAUUGCAGGUUUAAUUCCCGCUGGGGUCACCCAUAAGUUAAAAUGUACGUUGCUUUGGAUAGAAGCAGCUGAUAAACAGGAUAUACUAUUAUUGCAAGAUCAUAUAUCAAUCAUCAAUAAGAAGACGGGACAGAUACAGGACACGCAACUUAAUUUGUACCCAAUCAACCUUCCCUCACCUCCCAACACACAGCAGAUACUGACCAACAGAGGUGUGGCCGGGCUACUGAGAGACCGGGUGGUGUGUUUGUGUCGGGGCGUGGUUUAGUGAGUAACCCUGGUGGAAAGGCAGGAUAUGUUCACAGGCCCAGUCCUGUUUUACAGUCUGUGCUAUAGACAUUACAUGUAUGACUGUACCUGCUCUGAUGAGUGUUUUAUAUCAACAAUGUCUGUAAAAUAAUCCAAAACUGAAUAUUACGUAUUAUCAUGUGUUUCUAUAGCGAUAGAGCUGUUCAUGAUGCCAUUGGCUAAGAGAAUUUGAGUUGAUUUACUGUCAUUGGCCCUCCCUCUCCGUGCAUCCUGUUGCUUCACCUCAUUGGUUGAUUGUCCCGCCCGUUGUCCAGGUGAUCAAUCCCAGCCAGGCAGGAGAGAGUGUGUGUGUGUGUGUGUGUGUGUGUGUGUGUGUGUGUGUGUGUGUGUGUGUGUGUGUGUGUGUGUGUGUGUGUGUGUGUGUGUGUUUUAGAGGGCAGGCUCUGUGGAGAAGGUUGAGGGGGUGAGUAUGAUGUCAUUCAGAGCGUGUAAGACUGUCUUAAAAUGGCACCCUUUUCCUCUAAAAGUGCAUGACUAUAGACCAGAGGCCUAUGUUCCUAACCCUACGUGGCUCUGGUCAAAAGUAGUGCACAGGCUGCCAUUUGAGACACAGACUAAGGACAAAGCAGAUAGAAAUUCACUGUCCAGAACAGGCAGAACUCUCCAUUGUUUCUUAUCUGCUCAUUGUAUUUCUAUCUGCUGUCAGUGAACUCCCCCAGGUCAUCCAAGCAAUAUUGCCAACCAAUCACAUGGUUGCAUGGGAAUCAGACUGGGGGCGGGACAUAAAGCAUUAAAGAAAAAGUACUAGAGGGAGAGCGGAAGAGAUUAAACUGAAAAAUGAGACGGAAAAAUGUAACUAAUUAUUUCCCUCGCUCCAACUCUUUAUCUUUCCAUAUAUCUCUAUUUCUCUCUGUUCCUCUCUCCCUGUAGUCUACCCCUCUCUCCCUGUAGUCUACCCCUCUCUCCCUGUAGUCUACCCCUCUCUCCCUGUAGUCUACCCCUCUCUCCCUGUAGUCUACCCCUCUCUCCCUGUAGUCUACCCCUCUCUCCCUGUAGUCUACCCCUCUCUCCCUGUAGUCUUACCCUCUCUCCCUGUAGUCUACCCCUCUCUCCCUGUAGUCUACCCCUCUCUCCCUGUAGUCUACCCCCUCUCUCCCUGUAGUCUACCCCUCUCUCCCUGUAGUCUACCCCUCUCUCCCUGUAGUCUACCCCUCUCUCCCUGUAGUCUACCCCUCUCUCCCUGUAGUCUACCCCCUCUCUCCCUGUAGUCUACCCCCUCUCUUCCUCUCUCCCUCUAGUCUACCCCCUCUCUCCCUCUAGUCUACCCCCUCUCUUCCUCUAGUCUACCUAUCUCUUCCUCUCUCCCUCUAGUCUACCCCCUCUCUUCUUCUCGCCCUCUAUCUACCCCUCUCUUCCUCUCUCCCUCUAGUCUACCCCUCUUCCUCUCUCCCUCCAGUCUACCCCUCUCCCUCUAGUCUACCCCUCUUCCUCUCUCCCUAGUCUACCCCUCUCCCUCUCUCCCUCUAGUCUAACCCUUCUCUUCCUCUAGUCUGCCCCUCUCUUCCUCUCUCCCUAGUCUACCCUUCUCUUCCUCUCUCCCUCUAGUCUAACCCUUCUCUUCCUCUCUCCCUUUAGUCUAAUCCUUCUCUUCCUCUCUCCCUCUAGUCUAACCCUUCUCUUCCUCUCUCCCUCUAGUCUAACCCUUCUCUUCCUCUCUCCCUCUAGUCUAACCCUUCUCUUCCUCUCUCCCUCUAGUCUAACCCUUCUCUUCCUCUCUCCCUCUAGUCUAACCCUUCUCUUCCUCUCUCCCUCUAGUCUAACCCUUCUCUUCCUCUCUCCCUCUAGUCUAACCCUUCUCUUCCUCUCUCCCUCUAGUCUACCCCCUCUCUCGUUCUCCGUCUCUAUGCUCUAUAUCUGAAGUUAAGAAGCAUUGAGCUGUGGUAUUGUUCAUAUAAGUGUUUGUUUAGCCUUUUAAUUUUAUACAUUUUCUACCGUAUUUUACUUUUAUUUUUAUUGUUACAGUUCUUUGAAGAACAUAAAGCGGCCAUUUAUUAUGAAAAAUAGUUUUGAAGAUCUAACGAGUCAAUAAAAUAUUACCCAAGUUAAGGUACCCUGAUUUCUAUUCUAAAAUAUUCAAAUAAGUGCAGUUAUUUGUAUACAUUUCCUGCAAAACACUAUUUCUUUAUCUCUCCCUCUACCCCAUUCUCUCUCUUUCUCUCCUCCCCGUUCUCACUCAAUCACUACCUCGCCUGCCUCUCUCUCUCCCAUCUCCAUCUCUCGCUUCAUCUCUCUCCCUCUUUUUCUCCUCCUUAUGGUGAAGGUUGACAGUGCCGUUUUGCUUUCAUCACUGUGGACCCUUUCAUUUCUCUAUUUACCUCUCCUUCUCUCUCUCUCUCUACCUAUUUCUCUCUCGCUCCCUCUCUUUCUUCCUCUCUUGCUCUCUCUCUCUCUCUCUCU
rnacentral:lncRNA from 1 species